rnacentral:rRNA from 1 species
UACGGGGGGAGCAAGCGUUGUUCGGAUUUACUGGGCGUAAAGGGCGCGUAGGCGGCCACCGCAAGUCGACUGUGAAAUCUCCGGGCUUAACCCGGAAAGGUCAGCCGAUACUGCGGGGCUAGAGUGCAGAAGGGGCAACUGGAAUUCUCGGUGUAGCGGUGAAAUGCGUAGAUAUCGAGAGGAACACCUGCGGCGAGGGCGGGUUGCUGGGCUGACACUGACGCUGAUGCGCGAAAGCUAGGGGAGCGAACGGG